AACGAACGCUGGCGGCGUGGAUAAGACAUGCAAGUCGAACGGGACAGGUAGCAAUAUCUGUCUAGUGGCGAACGGGUGCGUAACACGUGGGCAACAUGCCUGGAAGAGCGGGAUAGCCCGGGGAAACUCGGAUUAAUACCGCAUGUGACAACGGGGCGGCUUCGCCCUGUUUUCAAAGGUGGGGACCGCAAGGCCUGCCGCUUCCAGAUUGGCCCGCGUCCUAUCAGCUAGUUGGCGGGGUAAAAGCCCACCAAGGCGACGACGGGUAGCUGGUCUGACAGGACGGCCAGCCACACUGGAACUGAGACACGGUCCAGACACCUACGGGUGGCAGCAGUCGAGAAUCUUUCACAAUGGGGGAAACCCUGAUGGAGCGACGCCGCGUGGAGGAUGACGGUCUUCGGAUUGUAAACUCCUGUCAUGAAAGAACAAGCGGAGCGGGUGAACAGCCCGCCGAGUUGAUAGUAUUUCAAGAGGAAGGGACGGCUAACUUCGUGCCAGCCGCCGCGGUAAAAC
rnacentral:rRNA from 1 species